AGUGGCAUAAAAGCAAAACACGGAGGUGAACGCCGGUUCAACACAUAGUGAUGGCGCGCGAGCGAGACGGUAAUUACUGCGACAGGAUGGGGCCCCAGCGAGACGCCGUGCUGCAGUUCAUCCUGUCACUAUCGCUCAAGCACGUCUUCUCCUCUAGCCACAACCUUGUGAGAACUAAAUGAAUUAGUCUCCUGUAGAGUGAGAAAGUGGAGCAGACUAGCAUGUACGUCUCUAGUGUGCAUGGCUGAAACCAAGCUGAAAUAGCAGGCUAGCGUCUACAGCUGAAACCAAGUUGAAAUCCACCACUGAUAUGCUAAGUGUGAGUGGCAUCACUUCACAGAAAUCCAUCCUUGAAAAAUACCAAGAAAAUCUGACAGGAACUUCAAAGCCACUUUAUUGUAAAACUAAUCCAUUUGAAUUGAAUUGAUUAAAUAAUUAUUACGUUUUAAAAGGAUUAAGGGAAUAAAUAAAAGUAAAAACGGUAAAAUAAGUUCUACUGCAGUUGUGAAGUAAUCAAUUGAAACUAUUUGCAAGUUAUACUAAAUAUGCACACGUUCACUCUUACUGAUAUCUGAUAUGUUGAAAACGAAAACAUUUCUUGUCGUCACAUUCAUCAGUUAUGAGUUACAUGAAUCAAAUAUAAAUUAUACCAUAUUUUACACUGUAUUGCUUGCAUCCCUGGAUAUUAGUGUCAGUUCUCUCAUAAAACAGUUAAAUAUUAAUGUUUAGCUGCUACUUUCCUCAUCUUUCACCUUUUAGUGUUUAAUCUCGUUCUGUACACACACAGUUCAGUAAAAUAUGGGAGUGACAACCGCAUUCUACAACCGUAUUAACUCCCGAAAAAUACAGGUAGUGACAACCGCAUUUACAGAAAUUCUAUGCAGUGUGUACGGAACCGAACUGAACAACUAGUUCUUAAUGACAUUUUUUAACCUUCAUCGGAGAUGUGUCUCUCUUCUGUAUGUGCGGUCAAUCACAGGGAAAGCACGAGCCUUUUCUCAUUCAAGUUGCCAGAUCUUGCUAGAAAAAUCACAAUAACGUGAUCCUGGGUGGAGUAACUUCCUGUUGACGUUCGAAGUGUUGUCAAACAAAACAGAGGCUAGCUAGACCCUCCCUCCUCCUCCUCCUCCUCCCCCUCCCCUCCGUGAUUCCUGAAA